rnacentral:rRNA from 1 species
GUGGGGAAUAUUGCACAAUGGGGGAAACCCUGAUGCAGCAACGCCGCGUGAGUGAUGAAGGUCUUCGGAUUGUAAAACUCUGUCUUUGGGGACGAUAAUGACGGUACCCAAGGAGGAAGCCACGGCUAACUACGUGCCAGCAGCCGCGGUAAUACGUAGGUGGCAAGCGUUGUCCGGAUUUACUGGGCGUAAAGGGAGCGUAGGCGGAUUUUUAAGUGGGAUGUGAAAUACCCGGGCUUAACCUGGGUGCUGCAUUCCAAACUGGAAGUCUAGAGUACAGGAGGGGAAAGUGGAAUUCCUAGUGUAGCGGUGAAAUGCGUAGAGAUUAGGAAGAACACCGGUGGCGAAGGCGACUUUCUGGACUGUAACUGACGCUGAGGCUCGAAAGCGUGGGGAGCAAACAGGAUUAGAAACCCGGGUAGUCC